rnacentral:rRNA from 1 species
CCUACGGGGGGCAGCAGUGGGGAAUAUUGCACAAUGGGGGAAACCCUGAUGCAGCGACGCCGCGUGAGUGAAGAAGUAAUUCGUUAUGUAAAGCUCUAUCAGCAGGGAAGAAAAUGACGGUACCUGAGUAAGAAGCCCCGGCUAACUACGUGCCAGCAGCCGCGGUAAUACGUAGGGGGCAAGCGUUAUACGGAUUUACUGGGUGGAAAGGGAGCGUAGACGGCAGUGCAAGUCUGGAGUGAAAGGCGGGGGCUCAACCCCCGGACUGCCCUGGAAACUGUACGGCUGGAGUGCAGGAGAGGUAAGUGGAAUUCCUAGUGUAGCGGUGAAAUGCGUAGAUAUUAGGAGGAACACCAGUGGCGAAGGCGGCUUACUGGACUGUAACUGACGUUGAGGCUCGAAAGCGUGGGGAGCAAACAGGAUUAGAUACCCUUGUAGUC